GGAUGUGAGGGUGAUCUGGCUGCGACAUCUGUCACCCCAUUGAUCGCCAGGGUUGAUUUGGCUGAUCUGGCUGGCUAGGCGAGUGUCCCCUUCCUCCCUCACCGCUCCAUGUGCGUCCCUCCCGAAGCUGCGCGCUGGGUCGAAGAGGACGACCAUCACUGAUAGAGGAGGACCGUUCUUCGGUCAAGGGUAUACGAGUAGCUGCGCUCCCCUGCUAGAACCUCCAAACAAGAUCUCAAAACCACACUACGAUUCCACCUCAACCCUGUUAGAAUAGCCAUCAUCAAAAACACCAACAACAACAUGUGUUGGCAAGGAUAUGG
rnacentral:snRNA from 1 species